UGAGAGGGCAUAGUGAAGACUUAUGUUUAUUCACAGGACAGGUACAGCAGGGAGAACGGCAAUGCAAGCUUCCCCCGCACUCUUCUGAGCCUGCCAACCAGUGUGCCAAGGACUAUUUGUGUGAUGCAGACAACAGCUCACCUGGAACCCACAACCUCUUUCACAGGCCUCC
rnacentral:sRNA from 1 species